CGCGAAUAGCUCAUUACAACAGCCAUAGUUUAUUGGAUGUUUACGUUCCUACAAGGACACCUGCGGUAAUUCUGGAGCUAAUACUUGCGAAAUGCGACAACCUCACGGGAGUCGUGCAUUUAUUAGAUUAAACCAAUCGGUCCUUCGGGACCGCCAUUUGGUGAACUCUGAAUAACUUAGCUGAUCGCACAGUCUCGUACUGGCGACAAAUCUUUCAAGUGUCUGCCUUAUCAACUUUCGAUGGUAGUUUAUACGACUACCAUGGUUGUAACGGGUAACGGAGAACAAGGGUUCGACUCCGGAGAGGGAGCCUGAGAAACGGCUACCACAUCCAAGGAAGGCAGCAGGCGCGCAAAUUACCCACUCGCAGAACGCGGAGGUAGUGACGAAAAAUAACGAGGUGGCUCUCUAUGAGGUCCAUCAUCGGAAUGGGUACAAUUUAAAUCCUUUAACGAGGAUCUAUUGGAGGGCAAGUCUGGUGCCAGCAGCCGCGGUAAUUCCAGCU
rnacentral:rRNA from 1 species